rnacentral:rRNA from 1 species
UGCGAAUGGCUCAUUAAAUCAGUUAUCGUUUAUUUGAUAGUACCUUACUACUUGGAUAACCGUGGUAAUUCUAGAGCUAAUACAUGCUAAAAAUCCCGACUUCGGAAGGGAUGUAUUUAUUAGAUUAAAAACCAAUGCCCUCCGGGGCUCACUGGUGAUUCAUGAUAACUUCUCGAAUCGCAUGGCCUUGUGCCGGCGAUGGUUCAUUCAAAUUUCUGCCCUAUCAACUUUCGACGGCUGGGUCUUGGCCAGCCAUGGUGACAACGGGUAACGGAGGGUUAGGGCUCGACCCCGGAGAAGGAGCCUGAGAAACGGCUACUACAUCCAAGGAAGGCAGCAGGCGCGCAAAUUACCCAAUCCCGACUCGGGGAGGUAGUGACAAUAAAUACUGAUACAGGGCUCUUUUGGGUCUUGUAAUUGGAAUGAGUACAAUUUAAAUCCCUUAACGAGGAACAAUUGGAGGGCAAGUCUGGUGCCAGCAGCCGCGGUAAUUCCAGCUCCAAUAGCGUAUAUUAAAGUUGUUGCAGUUAAAAAGCUCGUAGUUGAACCUUGGGUCUGGCUGGCCGGUCCGCCUCACCGCGUGCACUGGUCCGGCCGGACCUUUCCCUCUGGGGAACCGCAUGCCCUUCACUGGGUGUGCCGGGGAACCAGGACUUUUACUUUGAAAAAAUUAGAGUGUUCAAAGCAGGCCUUUGCUCGGAUACAUUAGCAUGGAAUAAUAGAAUAGGACGUGUGGUUCUAUUUUGUUGGUUUCUAGGACCGCCGUAAUGAUUAAUAGGGACAGUCGGGGGCAUCAGUAUUCAAUUGUCAGAGGUGAAAUUCUUGGAUUUAUUGAAGACUAACUACUGCGAAAGCAUUUGCCAAGGAUGUUUUCAUUAAUCAGGAACGAAAGUUAGGGGAUCGAAGACGAUCAGAUACCGUCGUAGUCUUAACCAUAAACUAUGCCGACUAGGGAUCGGACGAUGUUAUUCUUUGACUCGUUCGGCACCUUACACGAAAGUA